rnacentral:rRNA from 1 species
GGGGCAGCAUAGGGUAGCAAUACUCUGAUGGCGACCGGCAAACGGGUGCGGAACACGUACGCAACCUUCCUUUAACUGGAGAAUAGCCCCUCGAAAGAGGGAUUAAUACUCCGUAACAUGAUGAUAAGGCAUCUUAUUAUUAUUAUAGCUCCGGCGGUUAAAGAUGGGCGUGCGCCUGAUUAGGUAGUUGGCGGGGUAAUGGCCCACCAAGCCUGCGAUCAGUAACUGGUGUGAGAGCACGACCAGUCACACGGGCACUGAGACACGGGCCCGACUCCUACGGGAGGCAGCAGUAAGGAAUAUUGGUCAAUGGACGCAAGUCUGAACCAGCCAUGCCGCGUGGAGGAUUAAGGCCCUCUGGGUUGUAAACUCCUUUUAUCUGGGAAGAAAUCCAUAUAUUCUUAUGUGGUUGACGGUACCAGAGGAAUAAGCACCGGCUAACUCCGUGCCAGCAGCCGCGGUAAUACGGAGGGUGCAAGCGUUAUCCGGAUUCACUGGGUUUAAAGGGUGCGUAGGCGGGUAAGUAAGUCCGUGGUGAAAUCUCUGAGCUUAACUCAGAAACUGCCGUGGAUACUAUUUGCCUUGAAUAUUGUGGAGGUGAGCGGAAUAUGUCAUGUAGCGGUGAAAUGCUUAGAUAUGACAUAGAACACCAAUUGCGAAGGCAGCUCACUACACAAUCAUUGACGCUGAGGCACGAAAGCGUGGGGAUCAAACAGGAUUAGAUACCCUGGUAGUCCACGCCCUAAACGAUGAUUACUCGACAUCAGCGAUACACUGUUGGUGUCUGAGCGAAAGCAUUAAGUAAUCCACCUGGGAAGUACGAUCGCAAGAUUGAAACUCA